GAUGAACGCUGGCGGCGUGCCUAAUACAUGCAAGUCGAGCGAACGGACGAGAAGCUUGCUUCUCUGAUGUUAGCGGCGGACGGGUGAGUAACACGUGGAUAACCUACCUAUAAGACUGGGGUAACUUCGGGAAACCGUAGCUAAUACCGGAUAAUAUUUUGAACCGCAUGGUUCAAAAGUGAAAGACGGUCUUGCUGUCACUUAUAGAUGGAUCCGCGCUGCAUUAGCUAGUUGGUAAGGUAACGGCUUACCAAGGCAACGAUGCAUAGCCGACCUGAGAGGGUGGUCGGCCACACUGGAUCUGAGACACGGUCCAGACUCCUACGGGAGGCAGCAGUAGGGAAUCUUCCGCAAUGGGCGAAAGCCUGACGGAGCAACGCCGCGUGAGUGAUGAAGGUCUUCGGAUCGUAAAACUCUGUUAUUAGGGAAGAACAUAUGUGUAAGUAACUGUGCACAUCUUGACGGUACCUAAUCAGAAAGCCACGGCUAACUACGUG
rnacentral:rRNA from 1 species